rnacentral:rRNA from 1 species
UACGAACCGUGCGAACGUUGUUCGGAAUCACUGGGUUUAAAGGGCGCGUAGGCGGGCUGUCAAGUCGGAGGUGAAAUCUUUCGGCUCAACCGGAAAAUCGCCUUCGAUACUGGCGGCCUUGAGGGAGGUAGGGGCAUGCGGAACUUCCGGUGGAGCGGUGAAAUGCGUAGAUAUCGGAAGGAACACCGAUGGCGAAAGCAGCGUGCUGGACCUUUUCUGACGCUGAGGCGCGAAGGCCAGGGGAGCAAACGGG